rnacentral:lncRNA from 10 species
UGGAAAGUUUAAAAAAGGACUGGAAUUCACAGGGGGGGCCAGACAGUUUAUGAAUUUGGGAAAUAGAAACUGUCUAUAGGUCUGCUUAUCUGAAUGCAUGGAGGAAGAAUUGGGCUGGUUAAUGGAAUGAGCCCUCCCCCACAAGCCCACACCAGGAUUCUCAACUUGCAAAGAAUCAGAAAUCAGUGAAGGCGACCUAAAUGUUAAUAACAUACUGAACCAAAUGGAAUCUCUUCAUCAAUUGCUAAAGCUAUUGUGGUACAGAAUUAUGUAGUGUCUGGGUCAUCUGUAUGUAUACCAAUUCCUCCACAUGGGACCAAAAAGAGAGAGAGCUUGAGAAGAAACGUGGACACGAGAUUUCUAGGAUAGCCAGGCUCACCCAUAGCUUUCUCAUGUGUGAUUUGGUCUCCUGAGGCUGAAGUCUGAAGUAUGAAAAGGUAAACACUCCACCUGAUCCAGAAACAAAAACAAAGCAAAGUUAGAAGGAAGAGAAACAUGAAAAAAGACAUUUUAGCUCAUAUGGAGGCUCUGACCACUAAGGAUGAACAAUCACUUGGCUGUUUCUCUCCUACUCCUUAAUGACCCAAGCAAUUCAGCUAUUAAGUGAUAAAUCCUCUGUGUAUUCAUGACCGGCUGGUUUAAUUCUGCAGCCCAAACUGCAACAAUCAAGAUAAUUGAGCUGUCUCAGAAGCAUUAGGGGAGCCAGCUGCUAUCCAAAGCAGAAAACAAACUCACCGGGCAGCAGGAGCCCUGUCCCCCGAGAAAGAAAUGCUG